AAGGCCUUAGCUUAGUUAAAGCGUCUGUUUUGCAUGCAGAAGAUGUGAGGUAACUCCUCGCAGGUCUUA
rnacentral:tRNA from 1 species